UUGCGAGAAUGUAUAGUCCUCUUAUGAGGCUAGUUGUGUUUUGAAUAAUAGUAAAAUGUUAUAAAAUAAACAUAACACCAACUACGUUGGAUAAAAUUCUAGAUAGAAUACUGAUUAUGACUAUUUUCUAUCUACAAGUCUUGACCAAAUUACGUGCCAGCAGUCGCGGUAAUACGUAGAAGACAAGUGUUAUUCAUCUUUAAUAGGUUUAAAGGGUACCUAGACGGUAUUAUUAACCCACAUUAGGGAAAUAUUUUUACUAGAGUUUUAUGUAAGAAGGGGGAAUUUAGAGAGUAGAGAUGAAAUCCUUUGAUACUCUGAAGACUGGUAAUGGCGAAAGCACCCUCCUAUGUAACAACUGACGUUAAGGGACGAAGGCUUGGGGAGCAAACAGGAUUAGAUACCCUAUUAGUCCAAGCAGAUAAUUAUGAAUGCCAUAGACUAGAUAUAUUUUAGUUUAUAAAUGAAAGUGUAAGCAUUCCACCUCAAGAGUACUGUGGCAACGCUGGAACUGAAAUCAUUAGACCGUUUCUGAGAACAGUAGUGAAGUAUGUUAUAUAAUUCGAUAGUCCUCGUAAAACCUUACCACAAUGUGAAUGGUGUCCAAAAUUAAUUUAAUAGCUCCCUAGUUUAUUGAUCAAUAAGAGUUAUCUUUAUUUUAGGUAGAUACCAAUAUUAAACUAAUAAGGAUGUUACAGGUGUUGCACGGUUGUCUUCAGCUAAUGUCGUGAGAUUUUGGUUAGUUCCAUAAAAUUAGCGUAAACCCCGGCUUUAUUUUUUAAUUAUUAUGAUAAAGCAGUUCGUCACUAUAUCGAAAUUUGAUAA
rnacentral:rRNA from 1 species